GCCGGAGUGGCGGAAUUGGCAGACGCGCUGCGUUCAGGGCGCAGUGAGCAAUACGCUCAUCUGGGUUCAAAUCCCAGCUUCGGCA
rnacentral:tRNA from 1 species